UCCUCCCUCUUUCUUCGUGCUUAACACAUGCAAGUCGAACGGAAAGGCCCUGCUUUUGUGGGGUGCUCGAGUGGCGAACGGGUGAGUAACACGUGAGUAACCUGCCCUUGACUUUGGGAUAACUUCAGGAAACUGGGGCUAAUACCGGAUAGGAGCUCCUGCUGCAUGGUGGGGGUUGGAAAGUUUCGGCGGUUGGGGAUGGACUCGCGGCUUAUCAGCUUGUUGGUGGGGUAGUGGCUUACCAAGGCUUUGACGGGUAGCCGGCCUGAGAGGGUGACCGGCCACAUUGGGACUGAGAUACGGCCCAGACUCCUACGGGAGGCAGCAGUGGGGAAUAUUGCACAAUGGGCGGAAGACUGAUGCAGCAACGCCGCGUGCGGGAUGACGGCCUUCGGGUUGUAAACCGCUUUCGCCUGUGACGAAGCGUGAGUGACGGUAAUGGGUAAAGAAGCACCGGCUAACUACGUG
rnacentral:rRNA from 1 species